rnacentral:rRNA from 1 species
GUUAGAUCCUGGCUCAGAUUGGACGCUGGCGGCAUGCCUUACACAUGCAAGUCGAACGGCAGCACGGGGGCAACCCUGGUGGCGAGUGGCGAACGGGUGAGUAAUACAUCGGAACGUGUCCUGUAGUGGGGGAUAGCCCGGCGAAAGCCGGAUUAAUACCGCAUACGAUAAUACGGAAGAAAGGCGGGGGAUCCUUCGGGACCUCGGCGCUAUAGGGGCGGCCGAUGGCAGAUUAGGCUAGUUGGUGGGGUAAAGGCCUACCAAGGCGACGAUCUGUAGGCUGGUCUGAGAGGGACGACCAGCCACACUGGGACUGAGACACGGCCCAGACUCCUACGGGAGGCAGCAGUGGGGCAAUUUUGGACAAUGGGGGAAACCCUGAUCCAGCAAUGCCGCGUGUGUGAAGGAAGGCAUUCGGGUUUGUAAAGCACUUUUGUCCGGGAAAGAAAACUUCUGCCCCUAAUACGGUGGGGAGGGAUGACGGUUACCGGGGAAAGGAAUAAGGGCAACCGGGGCUAA